UGAGCAACCAUUUAGCUAUACCAAUAACUAUGGCAAACAUACCAAACACAAGGUAACUUAUAAUUCACAUAUAUCACUUAACAGGAACAUAGUUUAAGCCAACUUAAUGGCCAUACACACCAACAUUUACAUCAAAAGCAAGCCAAAUCUCAUGGCUAAUAUCAUAACUUAAAACAUACCAAAACGACAGUAGCCUAUACAUGCCAUAUACCAUAUAUACAAAGAUCCAAAAGUGCCAA
rnacentral:lncRNA from 1 species